UACGUAGGGGGCAAGCGUUGUCCGGAAUCAUUGGGCGUAAAGCGCGUGUAGGCGGUUCGGUAAGUCUGCUGUGAAAGUCCAGGGCUCAACCCUGGGAUGCCGGUGGAUACUGUCGGACUAGAGUACGGAAGAGGCGAGUGGAAUUCCCGGUGUAGCGGUGAAAUGCGCAGAUAUCAGGAAGAACACCAACGGCGAAGGCAGCUCGCUGGGACGGAACUGACGCUAAGGCGCGAAAGCGUGGGGAGCGAACAGG
rnacentral:rRNA from 1 species